rnacentral:rRNA from 1 species
GACGAACGCUGGCGGCGUGCCUAACACAUGCAAGUCGAACGGAAAGGCCCUGCUUUUGUGGGGUGCUCGAGUGGCGAACGGGUGUGUCACAUGUGAGUAACCUGCCCUUGACUUUGGGAUAACUUCAGGAAACUGGGGCUAAUACCGGAUAGGAGUUCCUGCUGCAUGGUGGGGGUUGGAAAGUUUCGGCGGUUGGGGAUGGACUCGCGGCUUAUCAGCUUGUUGGUGGGGUAGUGGCUUACCAAGGCCUUGACGGGUAGCCGGCCUGAGAGGGUGACCGGCCACAUUGGGACUGGGAUACGGCCCAGACUCCUACGGGAGGCAGCAGUGGAGAAUAUUGCACAAUGGGCGGAAGCCUGAUGCAGCGACGCCGCGUGCGGGAUGACGGCCUUCGGGUUGGAAACCGCUUUCGCCUGUGACGAAGCGUGAGUGACGGUAAUGGGUAAAGAAGCACCGGCUAACUACGUG